AAAAAUGUUAACAUCUUUGCUAGGUAUAUUUAUUUAGGUUAGUUACAGCUAAGUUUACAUGGCUAGUUAAUAUGCUUUUAUAAAUUGCAAUUUUUAUUAAUUUCCAAAUUAAACAUGUGGCAUCCAAUAUCAUAAACUAAGUUUAUACUGAUGUGUUUAUAUUAUUUGAGAAUUUUUUGUUUUAGACACAUGGCUUUUGCAAUCCCACUGUAAGUUAAAACUAGUUGUAAAAUUAAAAAAUUUAUAUUGGAACUUCUAUUUCUUUUAACAUUCAUGUUUAUUUAAUUGAGUUACAACUAAGGUUAUAUAUGAGUUAUUUAUAAUAUCUUAGAAUUUGCUGCUUUAGAGGCACGGCAUUUAGUGUCACGUUGUAAGUUUAAAUUGGUUGUAGAACUUAUAUUGUAACUUGCAUAUUUAUUUAGUUGAGUUUAAUCUAAGUUUAUUUUGAUUUGUUUGUAUUAUUUUAGAAUUUACUGUUUUAGACACGUGGCAUGUGGUAUCCCACUAAUUUGCUGUUUUAGACACGUGGCUUGUGAUAUCCCACUAAUUAGCUAUUUUAAACAUGUGACAAGUGGUAUGACACUGUAUUGAUGUAUGUAAAAUGUAUAGAGUCUUUCAGUUAUCAGAUAAUGUCAAUGUAAUCUUAUACUUUUUUUUUAAUUUACAUUUUAAUAAAGAUAUAAUUUACUUGUUCCAUUUAACUUUAUCUUUA